rnacentral:rRNA from 1 species
AGAGUUUGAUCCUGGCUCAGAUUGAACGCUGGCGGCGUGCUUAACACAUGCAAGUCGAGCGGUAGCAGGCGUAGCAAUACGUGCUGACGAGCGGCGAACGGGUGAGUAAUGCAUCGGAAUCUUCCUAGUAGUGGGGAACAACCUGGGGAAACUCAGGCUAAUACCGCAUACGACCUACGGGUGAAAGCAGGGGAUCGCAAGACCUUGCGCUAUUAGAUGAGCCGAUGUCGGAUUAGCUAGUUGGUGAGGUAAAGGCUCACCAAGGCGACGAUCCGUAGCUGGUCUGAGAGGACGACCAGCCACACUGGAACUGAGACACGGUCCAGACUCCUACGGGAGGCAGCAGUGGGGAAUAUUGGACAAUGGGGGCAACCCUGAUCCAGCGACGCCGCGUGUGUGAAGAAGGCCUGCGGGUUGUAAGGCACUUUUAGUGGGGAUGAAAAGUCUAGGGCUAAUACCCUUGGAUCUUGACCUAACCCAAAGAAAAAGCACCGGCUAACUCUGUGCCAGCAGCCGCGGUAAUACGUAGGGAGCAAGCGUUGUCCGGAAUCAUUGGGCGUAGAGCGCGCGUAGAUGGCUCUAUAAGUCCGUUGUGAAAGUCAAAGGCUCAACCUUUGAAAGCCGAUGGAUACUGUAGAGCUAGAGUCCGGAAGAGGCGAGUGGAAUUCCUGGUGUAGCGGUGGAAUGCGCAGAUAUCAGGAGGAACACCAAUAGCGAAGGCAGCUCGCUGGGACGUGACUGACACUAAGGCGCGAAAGCGUGGGGAGCGAACAGGAUUAGAUACCCUGGUAGUCCACGCCGUAAACGAUGGGCAUUAGGUGUGGGAGGUGUCGACUCCUCCCGUGCCGUCGCUAACGCACUAAAUGCCCCGCCUGGGGAGUACGGCCGCAAGGCUAAAACUCAAAGGAAUUGACGGGGGCCCGCACAAGCAGCGGAGCAUGUGGUUUGAUUCGACGCAACGCGAAGAACCUUACCUGGGCUUGACAUGUCAGUGACCGCCGUGGAAACACGGUUUUCCUUCGGGACACUGUCACAGGUGGUGCAUGGCUGUCGUCAGCUCGUGUCGUGAGAUGUUGGGUUAAGUCCCGCAACGAGCGCAACCCCCGUCCUAUGUUGCCAUCAUUAAGUUGGGGACUCAUAGGAGACUGCCGGUGACAAACCGGAGGAAGGUGGGGAUGACGUCAAGUCAUCAUGCCCCUUAUGUCCAGGGCUACACACGUGCUACAUUGGCGCAUACAAAGGGCAGCAAUACCGCGAGGUGGAGCAAAUCCCAUAAAGUGCGUCUCGGUUCGGAUUGGAGGCUGAAACUCGCCUCCAUGAAGGUGGAGUUGCUAGUAAUCGCAGGUCAGCAAUGCUGCGGUGAAUACGUUCCCGGGCCUUGUACACACCGCCCGUCACACCACGAAAGCGAGUAACACCCGAAGCCGGUGGCCUAACCGCAAGGAGGGAGCCGUCGAAGGUGGGACCCGUGAUUGGGGUGAAGUCGUAACAAGGUA